AAUGCAACAGCCAAAUAGGAAAGCACAACCAAACUAUCACAACAACAAUAUGACAGGCUCAGAUUACCUAAUGAACUUCGAUAGUAGGUAAGUUUCUCAUAAACAGAAAUCAGAAUCCUCAGUCACUUUUCAACCAAAUGAACAUCCGGAUAUGGAAGAUGAAUUUAUGUUCAACGUACCUUGAAUGAAAACUGAAGCUAACUCUAUGUUAUUGCUCUUUCAACACCAGCGAAUCUACUCCAGUUCUGCCCUUGGAGCCGAGUUGAGACCUCCAAACUCGGUGCAGUUCCGAACCCCUGCACCUCGAGCUCCGGAAGGACGCGAUCCGCGACGAGAACGUCAGAUUCAGCCGAGAGCAAGAUCACCAGAGAGAGUGAGCAAGAAGGAGAAAUCAGAAUCCACGACCUAAACGGAAUCGAAGAGAGAACAAAAACCGAAACCCUAACGGAUCAAGAGGGAUAGAAAGAGAGCUCACCGAUCCGAUGAGCCCGAUCCAGAGAGAAGAUCGGUUAAGCGCGGACGUCGUCGCCGAUGUCACCAAUCCUUGCCUCAAACCGAGAAAUCUUCAAGAGAAUGCCUCCGAUCCGGCGAAGAGAGAGACGCUGGUGUCGUCCCCCUUGCUGUAACCACCACCGUUUUCGCUCGAUUGAACCAGCGAAGAAUCAACUUCUGGAGAUGUCCACCCUUCAACGACAAUGAAGCUGCUCUUCGAUCUCACUUCAGGAAUUGUCGAACGAGAAGAAUAUCAAGUUCGACUAUAAUACGAGAGCUGUCCAACGCCGAUCUUCAGAUUCUGACUUGCUGUUUUGAAGAGAAAAUCUCGACUGAUGAUGGAACAACGACUUUCGGUGUUCGCUCGGCUUCAAACCUCGAUUACGAACAAUUUCCUUUGAUCAAAUCAUGAGGAACCGCUUCUUCGUAUCUACUUUCUCAUUCAAUCGGAGAGAGAAUGAGUGGAGUCACUCCACUUCGUCAAAGCUCAUGCGCAUGAAGCAAGAUAAAACCCAUGAGAGAGAAUGAGCGGAACCUUCUGCAAAAACUUGCAUAAACCCCCACCUUGCGAAAAUCCACCGCAAAAGUCUUCGAAAGAGAAGAUUCAAGAAUCAACGUGGCUUCCGCAGACGAAGGAUUGCUUCGUUCUCCCCUUUGCUCGACCGAGUGCGGAGAGAAAAAUCGGAGAGAGAGAUGUCGAGAGAGAAUUUU
rnacentral:lncRNA from 1 species